CUUCCUCUAUGUCCAGCAGCUCCCAGUCUUAGCUUUCAGAGGCUGUCUGCCCCAGGUCAUGUGUGGCUUCUGGGGAAAGGAGCCUACUGACACUCCUCAAAGUCAGCGGGCCUGCAUUCCAGGCACUGCUGCUCAGAAUGACGCAGGACCCUCGCAGCAAGGGAUGGCCUGCGGCUCCCAGGGAUAUGCUAGAACACUCAGAUGCAAUCUGACAGGCAGCUUCAGUGAUUUGAAGGAAUUCACAAAGAACGUUUUGCCCCUCCUGGAAACUGAAGGAUGGAGCAAUUAAAAUUUCCCAACCCCAUUCAGUGGAAAAGGAAACAUACUGUGGAAAGAAUUGCUAGCAAUUGUAGUCAGUGUCCAUCUCUAUGGAUUUGGCGUGGAAAUUCACAUUACAACAAGUGAAAAACAACUCACGGUACCCUCAAUACAAUGGGCAUCGAUUCUGCUUCCCUUGGUGAUUUAAAAACAAAUCUGGAUCUGGAUAUAUGUGCUUUAGAAAAUGCAAUUUGUCGACUUGGUUGUUACUAUAUGGCAUUUGUAGAGCUUGACUUAGGCUUGUCUUAAAAAAAAAGCUUCUUAAAACUGUAUGCCUUUAUCAGAAGUCGCCCCUCGGCUAUUUACAAGUGCCAUGGUUACAGACCUGCUAGACUGAUGAUAUUCACAUGCAGGAAACAAUGCAAGGAAAACAGGAUUUGCACGGCUCCGACUGCACUGGCCCAAGAAUUCCAGGAAGUGAUUGUACUUUAUGAAACCGUCUGUGCUCCGCUAGAUUGUCUAUAGCUUUUAAGGUCAAGUCCUAUCACGGCGAGUUUGCAAUGCCCUUUGUAACAAGGCAGAGUGUUUAUGAAGCUGAGUACAUGCUGUAUUGUUUAUCAGCCCAGGCAGUUGAAAGGUGCGAUAUUCCAAUCUUGUGGUUCAGGAUGGCACUGGGAAUCGAUCACAGGCUUUUCUGACAUAGGCUUGGGAUUAGUUCAAAGAGUCCCUGGCAACAGUGACCAUGCGACAGUCCAGCACAUGGAGAAAGUCACGAAGCCCACAGUCCCUGACAGGAGAGAUGGGUUUGUGUGGGAGAUCAAUGUGGGGAGCACUGUGAGUUUAUGUUUUAAGAUCCCUGUGCUUCCUGCUGUAGCUGAGCAGUCUCCUUGGAGAGUGAAAGGUGCUGGCGUACAGUAACUGCUGAUUCUGAGAGUACGGAAAGGAGAGUGAGACAACAAUGGAAUUUAUUUCUUCGUAAGAGAGCUGGGAGGCAGCCAGGCAUUCCAGGCCCUUGCUCUCGAAUUCUUUGAUUUCUCUACAUGCAUAAUGACUAGAGACUCCUGUUGCCUCUGGACUCGGGGAUACUGGAGCCGGACAGUGGACGCCCAAACCGCUCAUGUUACUCCACAGCCCUGCCUAAUUUUAGGCGCCAAGGCUGGACGUGACUGACCAGACUCCUGCUCGCUCCCUCUCCACGAAUGAUGUUGGUCCCUGAAGCUAGGUUAAACAAGCAAUAGUCCACAGCUAUUGUUAAGGACGCUGUCGUGAUGGAAUCAGCUGGGCACUGGGCAUCCUUUGCACUCGGAGUGAUGGCGGCUAGCCAGGCAUCUGUGAACUUUCUGGAGACAUUUAGGUGUUGUGUACCAAAGUCACGGCACCUUAGGGGCAAGCAUGAUCCCCCAGUGUUUUCAGAUGCGUGGACUGAAUGAACCUCAGUGAGUGACUGCUGAUGUCAAAUCAAUCAAUAUCGAUUUAAUGAAGUCUGUUAGUUUAUAAGUCAAGUGACUUGCCAUUAGGGACUGUUUCCUCAAGGAUGACAAAAUAAAUAACAACAAUGAAAUACUUUUUAUCCAGUUACCACGUUCUGUGCCCCAUACUGGCUUUUGAAGAUCUGGCUUUGCAAUGUAGCGUUGUAUUUUAUUGACUGAAUUUUAUUUUAUUUCUAAAUUCAUAGGCAUCUUGAGGUUCAUCACUUCAUAGGUACUCUGGACUAACAUCACAUAGUUAUCAAGCCUUUUAAUAAAACUGUUAUUUUUUUCUAGUAGACUCAAUAGAGGACCAUUGUUGGAUGUCUUAUAGGCAUAACUACCUCAUAAAGGGUUGCUAAUUACUGGCCAAAACACUUAACUAAAUAAAAAUUAAAAGUUCCACUCAUCAGGUAAGAAGAGUCCUGAAACCUGUGUUUUGGUCUUGACUCUCCCAUUAACUCCUAGGAAAUUUUACCUCCCCCAGUGACAGACAUUGGGAUAAUCAUUCCCUGCCCCUUUGUUUUUCCUCUGCAAAAAGAGGUGCUUUAAAUAUGUAAUUGAUCUCUAGGGGAUUUCCCAUCUAUGAAGAUUGAAUCUCUAACACUCGGCCUGUAAGUCAGAAGACUCAGAGGUGUUUGAACCAGAGCAACUCCAUCUCGAAUAGGAGCUGGGUAAAAUAAGGCUGAUACUUGCUGGGCUGCAUUCCUACUAAGUUAGGCAUUCUAAGUCAUAGGAUGAGAUCGGAGGUCGCACAAAAUACAGGUCAUAAAGACAUUGCUGAUAAAACAGGUUGCAGUAAAAAAAGCCUGCCAAAACCCACCCAGUCAAGACAAGAGUGACUUCUGGUUGUCCUCACUGCUACACUCCC
rnacentral:lncRNA from 1 species